UGUGCCCAGGUGGCCAAGAAGGCCAAAGGUACCCUAGCCUGUAUCAGCAAAAGCGUGGCCAGCAGGACCAGGGGAGUGACUAUCCCCCUGUACUGGGCACUGGUGAGGCUGCACCUUGAAUCCUGUGUCCAAUUCUGGGCCCCUCACUACAAGGAAGACCUUGAGGUGCUGGAGCAUGUCCAGAGAAGGGCAAUGGAGCUGGUGAAGGAUCUUGAGAGAGGAAGACAAAAAUGAGGAGCCUAUUGCAUGGCAGCAAAGCAAUCCGAGACUGGACAUCUAGCUCUUUGUCUCUCCAUUACCAUCAGAUGAUGCUGGGCAUGCUUUUGAUUGCUUACAGGAGAAGCAGUCCAGCAACUGUGAAAGACCCUGCAUCUCUGAACAGAAGCUCAAACACCAGAGCUUGUUCUCCCAGUUUCUCUGUUCUCUUGCAUUCAAAGAGCUAGUGUUUUUUUCAUCACAGUCUGUGCAGUUGACUUAUGUUUAUAGCAUUGAUUCCAACACUGUUAUCAUUUUAAUUGUCAGUUAAUUUUUCUGUGUACAUAUACUAAAUGAGACAAGAUUGAUUUAUUCAUGUUAAUCUAAGAGUGACCAUGACCCAUUUUAUUUGCAGUGUGGUUAACUGUGGCAUUCAUGGCACCUCCUCAGAAUAUUUUUGAUGAGGUCUUUAAGUAUGUGUAAUGCUGAAAACACAUUCCCAUUCAGUAGCUCUCAUAUAAGACGUUAAGCCCAACAGGCCAAAUAGCUUCUAGAAAAAUUCCAUAAACAUUAAGCAUAUUUAUGCCAUAGCAUUAAGCUUGGUCAUUUUGAACCUUACUGUAUUGUGGUAUAAGAGGCAUCUUGUUUGCUUUUAUUUACCUUCUCACUAGUAAAUGUAUUUUGGUUAACCACAAUGGCAAACUUAAGCAAGGCAUUUGUGUCAACAGAUCCUUCUUCUCAACAAAGUAACAUUCUUAGUUUCUAGGGAGGCAGACUGGAUUCUGAGUAAUAAGGUUUUUAUAAGUCUUGUUGUAAAUCUGAAACCAUAAACAUGUCUACUUUUCUAUUAGAUCUGCUGCUGUGUUUGAGGCACAAUAAGUUCUCUUUUAAAUUUGAUGGUAGCAAGCAUGUUGGUUUUCCAGUUUUGAUUGCUGUUGAUUGAACAGUUGCCAGCACCUCCUGCCAAGCUGUUGACCUAAGUCAUGAUCCCUGGUGAUGUCAUUAACAGUGCCUAGAAUUUAGUAGUUGAUGGUACCUGCUGGUAGGCAAUAAAAGAUUUUAUACAUC